UGCAAAUCUAUAACUUUUUGUGGAUUUAUAAAGAAAACAGGGGAAAUUAAUGGGUAUUUACACAAAAAAAGGGGGAAAAAAACAAAAAAGUUAAGUACCACUCUGAGUUCCACAUGAUCAAGUUGAAUGACAAGUAGAUGAAGUUCUGAUCAUAACUUUAUGCCUUUGGAAAUAUCUACCAUGCCUAAGAAUAGGCAUCCAAAAAAUCAUACCUGUUAGAAAUUGCCACCAAUGAAGCAUCUGAUACAAACAGCAUCUAUCAAUAGACCUCCACCAGUUCAAGUUUAUUCCAUUCCCCAUCAACAUUUUUAUCCCAUCUAUAUUCACCUAUUUUGUACAAUAGUAAGAAAUUCCUAUUCCAACCAAAGUUAAAACACUUUGAGCUCCAACUAUAAAAAUGAGUGUUUUGUGUUGGAACUACUACUUGAGGCCAGCAAGUUAGACAACUUUUUGUGUUUCAAAGAAAGAAAAAAAAAAAGCAGAAUAUUUAAGAGAGUUAACAAUGGCAUCAACCAAGGCUGAAAAACCUGUUGGCACUCAAUCUUCUGCUGCAGUCAAGAAAGAGCCUGCCAAAGCUCCUGCUAAAACUACGGCCUCCAAACCGGCUGCUAAGACCACUGAGGUCAAGCCUCGGGAGACUAAGAAGAGGAUAACCGGAAGCAAGCCAGCAGCCAAGAAUUAAGUAGAAUGUAGAAGAGGAAGAAAUGCAUUGGUGAUGCAUUUUUGGAGCCCAUGAAGAUGUAGAAUCAUUGUGGGGUUCUCCUUAGUAGUGUUCACCAAUGUUUGUAAUAUUUUAUUGUGUUAUUUAGUUAAACCCACUUCUGUCUUUUUAGGCUUGGCCUAAUUAAAUAAAAGAAACAUAUUUUAGCUA